rnacentral:rRNA from 1 species
UACGUAGGUGGCAAGCGUUGUCCGGAUUUACUGGGUGUAAAGGGCGUGCAGCCGGAGAGACAAGUCAGAUGUGAAAUCCACGGGCUCAACCCGUGAACUGCAUUUGAAACUGUUUCCCUUGAGUGUCGGAGAGGUAAUCGGAAUUCCUUGUGUAGCGGUGAAAUGCGUAGAUAUAAGGAAGAACACCAGUGGCGAAGGCGGAUUACUGGACGAUAACUGACGGUGAGGCGCGAAAGCGUGGGGAGCAGACAGG